AGAAAGGAGGAGACCAAACAUUUAGGGUAAAUUGCAAGGGAGGGGAGGUGGUCACAGGUUUGUUUAAUUCAAUCUGUUUGUUUUACUUUGAAAAUGGAAUAAGUGGAUUCAGACAUUGAGAAUUGUUGAGACAGUGUCUCAAGAUUUUGGAUUUAACCAGAACAUUUACUCCAGAAACUAAAAUCUACAAAAUCCAUCCUUUUUUGACUGAAUUUAAACAUUAGCUAAGAGGAAAAUUGAGAUACUAUCUGCUUACAGUUGACACAAAGGAGAAGAAGAACCCACACGACUCAGGCACUUGUACUAUUACGCUGCUUGGAACCAAAUAAUCCUUGUGCUCCAAUGUACAAGAUGUAAUAUGAGACACAGCCCAGACAUUACUCACUGGACCGAUUGUCAGGCAAAUACACUGCACGCAGAAGUACGUUCACAAUUGCUGUGUUAAGAAACAUUUGAGAGCUUUAACAACGCAUUUAAAGCUCCAUAUCCUACAAGAAGAUGAGACCAAGUAAUUAGUCUAAUCUGCACUUUGAACUUUUGAUAGUGUGAAUGAAGCUGUAGAGAGAAUAAUACACAGUUCCACAAUGGAAGCAAUCAUCAAUUUUCACAUUGGGGUGAUGAUUAUUGCAUGCUGGUAGCCCUACCUCCCGGAAAUACAACAAAGAACAUCAGAAGAUUUUUAGACAAAUGCACACAAAAUUUCAAUUGUCCAGCGUCACACAGAUCUGAGUUCAUUACAAAAGACCACAGGCUCAUUUAUGCUCCUUUUUCUGUGCAUUUCAAGCUGUGUAACAGUCAAUCCUCAACUACUUCCAUAUGUCCACUACAUUGACAUGAACAUUAAGCAAAACCUUCAGUAGAGGGCAGUGCAGUUUUUCUCAAAAAUCUCUAACAUCAAACAUGGUGGUGGCUGAAUAAUUCAUAAUAACGUGCCUACUACAAAAGAAACAAACGCGCAGGCAGCGGUGUAGACAGAGGUGGUCUGUGUGGCUAUAAAACACUUUGUGAUAAGAUUCAAUAUAUUAAAAAAACUUGUUAAAAUGUUCCGCCACGGUGAACAGUCAUCAUUGUGCUCUUUUCAUUAACGUGGUAUGUUGCUUGAACUUUGGUGACACUGUUCUCAAGAAUCGGAAGUCAUUCCGAUUCUUUCAUUCCGAAUUCCAUUUUGUUUGCAUCUGUGAGCUUUCAGAAAUGAAUACAGAGUGUAGACAGAAGGCUCCGCCCAUACCCGCAUUUGACACGGAACAUAAAUGAGCACUAGAUUGCCACAAAACUACCAUUUUAGAAAUAUUAACUGAUAACUAUACUUCCACUGUUAAGGCUGAGUGAUUUACCAGUUGAAUUUGAAGGCAUAUACUAUGUAAAAUAUAUGAAAACUGACUAUUUUAUUUGCAUAAAAGAAAAAUCUGCAUUUUAUCAAAAUACUGGAGUGUCAUAUUGAGCAAUUUAAUAAUUGUGGUAUUUCACAGGAAGUGUGUGUAUCCAUACUCAUGACGCGAUACACAUCUAGUCCAGAUGACAGUGCUAAUUCACCCAAUGUUAACAUGCCAACUAAAAUACGGUAUUUUAGAAACAGAAGUCAAAGAAACACAACAAAAUAAUCUGAUUGCACUAUCUUUUACUAAUUGGUUUGAAUGUCA